GCUCGCAUGGCGUAAUGGCAACGCGUCUGACUUCUAAUCAGAAGAUUCUGGGUUCGUACCCCCACGUGUGAGUG
rnacentral:tRNA from 1 species